ACAAGCUUGGCUAGUUUGACCACCAGAAAACCCGAGAGAUAGAAUUUGGAAUUCUUGGGCAGGGCUGAAAGUGCGGACCCUACAGCUUUGCGCUGACUGGUACACACGACGGCCUGACCUUGGAAGCCUUGUUGACCUCCACGCCAGAUCUCGAAUGCUAGCUAACCAGUCAGCAAGAAAGGAAAUGUACCGCAAACGUGCAUGUGCCGGACAGACUCUUUCGCAUUAUUAUUAUUUUUUAUUCUUUGGGAAGCCAGGGUAGAAGCGCUUGACUUGAAUGCCGAAGCCGUUAGGAGGGCACCCCUUCUUUCCCGGCCUAGGGCUCCUUCCUAAUCUGCGGCCUCCAAAUGAAUCUUGGGAGGCUUUGCCUUUGAUUUCCGGAUAGCGGCUCCGGAAAACGAAGGAGGGCAUGGGACGCUCGCCUCGGGGGCUGGACUCGCUCCAGAAGCAGGUCGACUCCACUGCAGCCCCGGAGACCGGACGGAGCCACCGGGAGAUUCCCGGUGGCCUUGACCUUGGUGUCCGAGGCUCAGUUUGCCGUCCCGCUGGUUCUGGGCGAUGACACAGCCCUUCGGCCAGGGCAGGGACAUCUCCUGCCUACCGUCUACAGGGCCUGGCUGCCUGGCUGCCUCCCGCUCACACCAUCCGACAGUGGCGCCUGACCACCAGCCUCCCACCUGGAUGGGAGGUGAGUUCGGACUCUGCUCUCUGCGUUCGGGAGGCCGAGGUAUAGCUUCUCGUGCAGACUGCCUUGCUUAGCAGCAAUGUCACUGAGGUGGAUUCCAGCCGUGCCUUCCCGACUUAUGACCCUGGCCCGUGGUCCCGAGCACCCAGCACAGCCAAUUUGGAACUCACAGCUCUGAGGCACUCAGAGCUAUCGAUUUCCUGCAUGUCUGUUUGCAGAGAGCACCCAAUUCAGAGCCGUGCAGGGGCGCUCCUGGUCCUGUGGGUGUUGGGAGCCGCGUCUGUGAUAGCUCGCCUUGCGCGGCGGACGUGAGGCCUGUGGUAAAGAGCAAAGCCUGAGGUAGAUUACCCCUCCCAUCGAAUAUGUUAGUUUCCUGCUUACCGCGUAAACAACCCGCUCAACAAUAUAGUCUGCCUGGCAACUGAUGAUGUUAGCCAAUCAGCUUGCCUUGCUUACUUUAACAUGAUUGGACACUGUACCCGUAUAUAUACCGGUGCCACCCCUGGGCGGAAGAAGAAGCCAGGUAGAAGCCCAGAAGUAAAAGCCCAAAAGGAGCCGCGGAGAGCGGACCGGUAGAGGCUUUGGGGCAGACUGAAGCACAAAAGGAGCCGCGGGGAGCGGACCAGAGGAGGCUUCAGCUGGGAGAACCCAGGGCAGGCUGUACGGAGAAGGAAAAUAAAAAGAAAAGAACCCUGGCCGUGUUCACAAACACGGAAAGGGGAUCCUGCUCCGGGAAAGCCGUUCAUCACCGCUGGCUGCCCCGCCUCCAGCGCCAGCACAGGGAUGACUUCGGUUGCCAAUGGGAAGAGAGUGCCAACAGGCAGCCUGAGCUCAGCUCUGCAGAAGUGGCCAAUUAAGAUGCCACCCUGGUGGAGAGAACAUGGCGUUUCAGGUGACUCGAAGAUGCUGGGUGAAGAUCUGACACUCCGGGGCUUGCUGCUGGUUUCAAGGACGAGGAGGGAUGGGGUUUUGCAGUCCAGCCGCUCUGGGCCUGAGAGGGUCAGGAGAUCGAUUGGACAAGGAACUGUGCUCGGACUCCAUGGUGAGACUCUUGGGAAGAUACACACCACUUCUGGAAUAAAUCAGCACACGUGAUUUCUAGCCAGGUGGCAAGGAAACCUGGUUUUCUGGACCUGGAGAAUCCAGGUUGGGUGAAAUUCCCCAAACCCUUCUUCCUAACAUGGUCUACAUAUAACCGCCUUCUUGUCAAGUGUGCGGGCUUUUGUUAAAGGUUGAGCUGUGGAUUUUAUUGUUUUUAAUCCUCAGCCCUGGCCGGCCUGAAAAAUCUCAGGCUGUUGAAUGAUUAAUUCCACCCUGCCCCAGAAAACGUUACUCAGCUGGCGAAAGGAAAUAGCCCAACACGGAGGCAAAAGAGCAAACUGACUUUAUCUGUGAGUGAUUAUGUUUGACAAGAUGAAACAGAAAGAAAUCUUUUGUCACUGGAGAAGACUGUGCUUUGAAAAGUCUUUGCACAAGUCUCAAGGCUGUGCUGUACACAGUGUGAAUUAAAAUGGAAAUAAUCCCAGCUCCCUUUUCCCUCCCAAAUAAGGAGCGGAGAAACAAAACUUCAGUUUCAAACGUUCGCUACGGCAGAGUUUCAGAAAUCAGAGCAAGACUCCAAGGUCUCCUCCGGAGCAGGGCUUUCAUUAACAAGGAAAUUCUCUUUCAAGAAACCUAUUUUUGACUCGCUAUUUACUACUCAAAUUUUAAUUUUCCCUCCCUGCACACGUAACGAGAGGGCCACACUCAGAUGAAGACCGGACGCCAAGGGAAGAUGAAGAGGCCAGGGAGGCUCUGCUCUGGAGCCCCUGGGGGAGCGUGGCCCUGCCGAAUCUUCCUUCUGGCCCAGCAAAACCGAUUUUGGAUCUCCAGCUCUGGAAUUGUAAGACUACUCUUCUAUUUUUUUUUUUUUUUUAAAUCGGUACCAGGGAUCGAACUCACGACUGCCUGCUUGCAAGGCAGGCGCUUAUGCCGCUGAGCUAAAUCCCAGCCCUAGACUACUUUUGUUUUAAGACACUAAGGCCAUCUGGCUCAGCAAACAGCAGUUUCCGUAAAUGAAUACCCUUUGUCUAAGCCCCUGUCCAAGCCUGAUGUGUACGGUAAUCUCCCCACUGCUCUGUCAGCCUCCUCUCUUGCACGUAUGAGGCAUAUUCUCUCUCCACGCUGUGGCAGAGGGAUCCUUUUGAAACACAAAGCCAUACCUCAACUGUGGGCUUUGCAGAGCAACAUCCUCAGGAUAAAAUCAGAUUUCGCCUUGCAGUGCGAGUUGCCCUGUGAGCUGGCCUUGGGUUCUUCCCUGGAUUCGUACGUAGCCCAGCAGCUUCUCCACAGGGUGGCUCCAGCCACACGCCAACUGGUCUCUGGCCUCAGGUCUUUUGAACUUGCUCUUUCCUCUGCCUGGAACACCCUGUACUCUCCCUGUAACUGCCUGAUCUCAUUCCUUGCCGGACUCAGCCAGAGCUUCCCUGGCCCGCCUGUCCCCAAGCACCCAGAACCUGUUCUCUUGCAUCCUCUUUAGAGAAAUCAUCUUCAAUCUUCGCCUUCUAUCAUGGACCUGUGUGUUUGUCAUCUGUCUUUCACAUUUUUAUGAGCUUCGCAGGAGUGGAAUUUUUCUGUCUUUUUUAGGGCUAUGUCCCCAGACCUAGAAGCAGCCUCUGCUCUGUCAUAAGCCGCUAAUAAGUGUACAGUGAAUAACGUACACACUAAAUAAAUUUAAACCAUAUUGAAUGACAAGAAAGCUUUUUUUUUUUUCUGCUCCAUCUUCAAAGAUAACUGUAUAUGACAUGCAGAAUUCUAGUUAUUCUGGCUCUUUUUCAACAUAUGCAAGUAUAUUUAUGUGUCUAAUAAACUUUAUAUACAUUUUAUCUCUA